rnacentral:lncRNA from 1 species
GGGAUAAAUGAGCCAUAUCUCUUCAAACAAAGUGAAUAUUUAUGGUAGCUUGGUUGCUGUAUCUUUUUUCUUAAUAAAUGACACUAUUUUUCAGUCUGUUGAUUCAACUGAGUGGGAAAAAUUGAGGUCCUACUGUAGGCUGCUUACAUCAAAGGAUGGCAAAUUGAUCAGAGCAAUCAACCUACAAGCUCAGACCAUGAAAUACUUUCCAAGGGAAGGGACCCAAAUUUUUGGGCCCAGAUCCUCUGGAUGAAAACUGAUAUUGUUUCCAAAUAGUCAGUCCUACUGGCAGCAUGAUAAAAUUGAGUUAAAUUAAAAUAUUCACUGAAUUUCAGACUGUCAUAUUGGAUUAUCAUUUCAUUUCAAAAAGCUUUCAAAUUUGAACAGUCACCACUUUUAUGACCU